CCAUGUCCCUCCCAGUGGCCACUGGGCUUCUCAUAUUGCCUUCUCAUAUUCUAGUGCACCAGGAUGAAGAGACAGAGACUGUGGAAGACCUUUUACACUUUCAGAACGUUGGGAAGGAUGUGACUGUUAUGUCCGUUGGACUGUGAACAGCCCUUCCUGAGCACACAUGAGCAUUGAAACGGCUCCUUUAGCCACAAUGUUCUUUGAUGUUGUUUUUCAAUUUAAAUUGUUUCCUCUUUGCUAAUGUGCUGCUUGCUAAUGAUCCCAGCCUUACUUUUAGAUGCAUUCAAAGAAUAUUUCAAAGACAAAUUUGGAACUGAGAUUUGGUGAAAGUUAAAUAAUCAAGGACACCUUGAGACAUUUUGGAAGUAUAAGAUUAGAAAUUUUAUGUGGACAUAAACAGUUUUCUGGGAUCAAUUUUUUAAGUGGUUAACUGCAGUCAAUGGAAAUUACUGACUUCUUCAAGCGAGAAGUGACAGCAUUCAAAGGAAGACUCAGCACCAAAUGUAAAAGUCAUAUUGCUGCUACUUUAAUUCGAAUUUCACUGAAUGGAGUCGAGUUUUAAGUCAAGCAGCAAAAAUGAUCUCUCUGAGCACAGAAGCAAGCCUUCCUUCUGCCUUCCUGAUGCUGUAAACAAAGUCUUUGUUCAAAAGCAUGCUCUCUGAAUUGCUGCCUGCAGACUGCUCUGCCUGAUGAAGUAGUUUUUUUCUUGCAUUGAUAAAAGCAGAAGUCGCACACUAGUCUGUACAGUUUAUAACUAGAUUCUGCAAUGGUUAUACCCAGUUGGAGGUAUCCAGGUGAAAAUGGAGAAGAGGAGAGAUCUCAGGCUGGAGAGGGAGACUUGGGGGUAACCUGUAUAGAGGUGGUAGUUUUAAAGCCAAGAAAGCAGAUUUACUUCUCCAAAAGGGAAGGAAAGGGUGUUUUUUUCAUCUACUGUACAUUCCUAAUUGUAAAUUGAUAUAAUGUUCUGCACAUAUUUGGUACUUGUUACUUGUGAUGUUGCUUAGGAUGCCAGAUAUAUUCAUUUAUUCAAACCUUAUUGGUUCCUCUGUUUGUGCCACAGUAUUUGAACUCAGGAUAUCAAUGUUCAUGAUACCACUGGUUUACCCAUUACAAGUGUAGCAAACAGUAUAAAAUUACAUUUCUCAUAUUUUCUCAGUUCAUGAUAAUCCCAUUGCAAUUUUCACUCCCCAAAGCCUGUAUGAAUGUCAGCCAUCUCUCCAUUAAAACAAAAGUUU